ensembl:lncRNA
GUUAGAGGCAUAACUUUCUUUUUACUCCUUGGUACUUUUACUCUUGUGAUCUAGCCCACCAUUUAAGCCUGCAAGACUUAGUCACACACGCUAACAGCCAGCUCAGAGUAGAUAAUGAUUUUAGAUCAAAACUCUGUGCAGACCAAAAAAGCAUGGACUGAAAUGGGAGUUAUCAGGACCAAGCCAACUUCAGAUGCCUGAAUGAAAUAGCAAAAAUGGAUUCUCCUCUCUUCUGUGGGCUGCCUACGUGUUACAGUAUCAGUGUGCAUUUCCCACUGUGGACUUCCAGCUUGUUACAGAAUCAGUGUGCACUGGACACUCAAAUACAUGUGAGAUCUCUGCCUCUUAUUUUCAGCUACCCCCAAGUCUCCUAACCGAAGCACCUCCUCCCUGAUGAGGGUGAUCACUGGCUAUAAGCCUGGAGCUCCUAUACCCAGGGUCUGGGAAGCUGCUCUUUCCGGAAGGGUGGUAGAGACCCUGGGAACCAGACCAGCCAGGCUCACAAGUAUGAAGAGAAUGUCGGGAGAGGAAGUGGUGGCUCUGAGUCAGCAUGAGUCAUCUGGUUCCAGUGACAAUGAAGACUGAGGCAAGCUGAGCAUAUCUUGGGAUCUUCACAGCACAGUGGCUGGGAAGGCAGACCGUCUAUCAGCUUCUCCCUGAAUAACUGGGAGCUGAAACAGGAAGCCCCAUGACACAGUUGAUCGAAAAUGACACAGACACAGAAAAAUCAGGACGUGCCCCCAGCAGCACCCCUACCUGCUGCCUGCUGAUCGAAGCUGGGAGGCCCGUGAAGGGUUUCCACCAGGAAUGAACUCUACUCCAUACUCACGGGUGAUGGGCCUGCAAUCCUUGCUUUGGUGAUGUUCUUUUACAGCUGGUUUGUUUGUUUGUUUAAUUAAUUAGUUAGUCUACUAUUACUUUAUUUAUUGGCCCUCUUCCAUGUCGUGAUCUUUUCUUCAUUAAAAGCAAAACUAAAGAAAAUGAAAUUGUCUGUUACUUAGCAUUCAAAGACAUCAAUUUAAAGAGCUCUAAGCUUGAACUUCAGAGAACUUUCUCCAGAUUGUCAAGAUUAUCGUGAUUGCACGCAUGGCAUCUUUAAAAGUGUGUUGAGCUGGACUCUCAUCUCUCAGCCAUGUUGGUCCUAUGUUUUAUACCUUUCUAGAAGAUCUUUCGAGAUAAUCUCUCAAGAGU